rnacentral:rRNA from 1 species
AAAUAGAUACCCCGGUAGUCCACGCCGUAAACGAUGAGUGCUAAGUGUUAGAGGGUUUCCGCCCUUUAGUGCUGCAGCUAACGCAUUAAGCACUCCGCCUGGAGAGUACGGUCGCAAGACUGAAACUCAAAGGAAUUGACGGGGGCCCGCACAAGCGGUGGAGCAUGUGGUUUAAUUCGAAGUAACGCGAAGAACCUUACCAGGUCUUGACAUCCCACUGACCGGUAUAGAGAUAUACCUUUCCCUUCGGGGACAGUGGUGACAGGUGGUGCAUGGUUGUCGUCAGCUCGUGUCGUGAGAUGUUGGGUUAAGUCCCGCAACGAGCGCAACCCUUGAUCUUAGUUGCCAGCAUUUAGUUGGGCACUCUAAGGUGACUGCCGGUGACAAACCGGAGGAAGUGGGGAUGACGUCAAAUCAUCAUGCCCCUUAUGACCUGGGCUACACACGUGCUACAAUGGAUGGUACAAAGGGCUGCAAGACUGCGAAGUCAAGCCAAUCCCAUAAAACCAUUCUCAGUUCGGAUUGCAGG